UUCUAAUUCCUUCCUCAGUAAAAUGGGGGAGGAGGGAAAGGUUCAUCUAGUUAAUCUCUGUGAUUAUCUGACGAUCCCAUGAUUCUCCCUGAUGCUGACUCCGAGGGAGGGAGCUACUGGAACAUACUGAGCAGAGGAGAGAAGCCAGUGAAGAAGAAAUGCUUUAGGACUCUCACUGUGGCAGAGGAUGGACGGCAGAGAAGAAGGAAAUAACAUUUAUUAAGCCCCUACUGUGUGCCAAGCCCUUUACAAAUAUUUCUCAUUUGAUCCUCCCAACCAUUCUGGGAGAAGGUGCUAUAAUUACUUUACAAUAAAGAAAACUGAGCAAAA